GAUGAACGCUGGCGGCGUGCCUAACACAUGCAAGUCGAGCGGACGGACGCGAAGCUUGCUUCACUGAUGUUAGCGGCGGACGGGUGAGUAACAAGUGGACAACCUAGCUAUAAGACUGGGAUAAAUUCGGGAAACCGGAGCUCAUACCGUAUAAUAUUUUGAACCGCAUGGUUCAAAAGUGUAUGACGGUCUUGCUGUCACUUAUAGCUGGAUCCGCGCUGCAUUAGCUAGUUGGUAAGGUAACGGCUUACCAAGGCGACGAUGCAUAGCCGACCUGAGAGGGUGAUCGGCCACACUGGAACUGAGACACGGUCCAGACUCCUACGGGAGGCAGCAGUAGGGAAUCUUCCGCAAUGGGCGAAAGCCUGACGGAGCAACGCCGCGUGAGUGAUGAAGGUCUUCGGAUCGUAAAACGCUGUUAUUAGGGAAGAACAUAUGUGUAAGUAACUGUGCACAUCUUGACGGUACCUAAUCAGAAAGCCACGGCUAACUACGUG
rnacentral:rRNA from 1 species